UACGGGGGGAGCAAGCGUUGUUCGGAUUUACUGGGCGUAAAGGGCGCGUAGGCGGCCACCGCAAGUCAAUUGUGAAAUCUCCGGGCUUAACUCGGAAAGGUCAACUGAUACUGCGGGGCUAGAGUGCGGAAGGGGCAACUGGAAUUCUCGGUGUAGCGGUGAAAUGCGUAGAUAUCAAGAGGAACACCUGCGGCGAAGGCGGGUUGCUGGGCUGACACUGACGCUGAGGCGCGAAAGCUAGGGGAGCGAACGGG
rnacentral:rRNA from 1 species